rnacentral:rRNA from 1 species
AUUGAACGCUGGCGGCAGGCCUAACACAUGCAAGUCGAACGGUAACAGGAAGAAGCUUGCUUCUUUGCUGACGAGUGGCGGACGGGUGAGUAAUGUCUGGGAAACUGCCUGAUGGAGGGGGAUAACUACUGGAAACGGUAGCUAAUACCGCAUAACGUCGCAAGACCAAAGAGGGGGACCUUCGGGCCUCUUGCCAUCGGAUGUGCCCAGAUGGGAUUAGCUAGUAGGUGGGGUAACGGCGCACCUAGGCGACGAUCCCUAGCUGGUCUGAGAGGAUGACCAGCCACGCUGGAACUGAGACACGGUCCAGACUCCUACGGGAGGCAGCAGUGGGAAUAUUGCACAAAGGGCGCAAGCCUGAUGCAGCCAUGCCGCGUGUAUGAAGAAGGCCUUCGGGUUGUAAAGUACUUUCAGCGGGGAGGAAGGGAGUAAAGUUAAUACCUUUACUCAUUGACGUUACCCGCAGAAGAAGCACCGGCUAACUCCGUG